rnacentral:lncRNA from 1 species
AGCGCAACCAGGACCGACUUCAGACCCUGUCCAGAGUCCCAACUCCCUGCUCUGGGCCUCGGAUCUCGCGAGAACAACGGCCGUUUCUUUUCCCUCCCCCCAUCUCCGCCACCUCAGCGGCUGCAACCGCGAGAUUUCAGGCGGGCGCCAAAAGCUUUCUCGCGAGAUGUGCGGGCGCCAGGGCGUGAUGGUCUCUGGUUCUUUGGAUAGCUGUCCUUCGAAGGAUUUAAGCUACCUUGUGAAAUCCUAAGGUCUUUGACCUUGGGAGUCUGAGAAUCAUAACUUUCGAGACCCAGAGGGGCCAGCCGAAACCAUCUGGUCCUGCUGCUACUGCAUACAGUUGGGGAGACAGGCCUAAGAGGGAGUGAGAGAGGGGAAAUGGCCAAGGUCUUACAGGAUUACCAGUUAUGGGUGGUGUCACUGUCAAAAUUUUUUAUUAAAUGCUUGCUAUAUGCAAGGGCUCUGUAGUAGAUGAUUAGUGUAAAAAGACGAAAAACAGUUCUUCAAGCACCUUACAUUCUAUUUGGGACGUUGGCAGGUAUGCUGACAAAAUGCAAGAUAGAGUUACAUAGGAUAUUUUGCUGCUUUAGGAUGGUGUGUGUAAAUGUGUGACUUUGUCCUGGCAUCAUCAAGUUGACAGUGUAAAGGAAGAACUGGACCAUAUUAAAAGUUAGAGGUGAGAUCUUCAGUAUGUUGGUUGAAUCCUCUAUAGCAGUGAUGGUCAAGCUUUUAAGCUGAGUGUCAUGCUUUGCCCCCCACCCUCACCGCCCAACUCCCCCCUUGCCCCAGACAAGGGAAGGAGGAAGCAUUUCCAUUGGGCUGCUGGGCAGGGGGGGUGAGUGAUAAGAGGUGGGGGAGGAGAGUGGCCCAUGCUUUGCUUCCCUCCAGUUCUGCUGCCUGUGAGUUAUGCUCCCUUCAAACCUAGCUCCUUUCCAGCCCCACCAUGGGAAUCACCUUCACCAUAGACUCAAUAGACUGCUGUCCUUACUGCACCCUCAUACAACAUGUGAACCCCCAGUGCCUCACCCCAGAUAGGGGAAGGAGGAAGCACUCCCAAUGGGCUGCUAGGCAGAGGGAGGGGUGAAGUGAGGAAUGUCCUCAGUUGCAUGGAGAGGGGGUGGGGAACAGCUCUGCCCUGUGUCCCUCUGAGUUUCUAGUAAUGAACACUGGCAGGUGACUAUAGGCAUGCUCACAGAGAGGGCUCUGUAUGCCCUUUUUGACAUGUGUAUUAGUGGGGAAAUUGAGAAGGAACCAGAGUUGCCAGAUACUUGGGGAAUAAAUAUAAGGUAGCACCAUUGCUUCCUUCCCUU